ACACCGAUGCUUGCACUCCGGGGUCGGGACAAAGGCAUCACCUCUAGGUUCCUCCCGUCUGGGCACUCCGGCCCUGGCCCAAACCCUCUCCGGUUUCCCGAGCCCGACACUCCAGUGCUCCCAGCCCCGGAGACGGAGGCCGCGAUUCAGGCCUCCGGUGAGCAACCGGCGCCCUGCCGCUCCCGCGAUCCUGUCAGCGGCCAGCGGGCCUCACGGUCCCCGUAGGACUGGCGCGGCGACCCUCCGAGCCGGCGCCGCCAGACGCUCGGGCGAACCCGUCAGGUGCUGACCGGCCGGGCCGAGCCCGCCGCCAGAGGGGAGCAGGGGCGGCACUUACCCGGCAGCGCCUCCUCCGCCCGCGGCAGCAACACAGCCGGCGGUCCCCCGCACCAUCUUCUGCCGCCGCCCUGGCCUCGGCGGCGGCUAUCAACCGCCCCUGCGGCGCCGCCGACCGACACAACCGUCGGCGCCGGGCCGCCGAGUACCCGGCGAGUCCCGGAGGGAUGGGCGUCGGGCGCAGCCGCUGCUCCGGCCCCUCGGCUCCGCGCGGGGACCCGAGUCCGCCGGCCGAGGCACUGGGAGCUUGGCGGGGCUGGGUCGCGGCCGCCGUGGGGUUUGUUAUUGUCGACUCGGCCUUUGCGCCGCGGAGCACGCCGGGAAACAGCCAGCCGGGGGAGGGGCGACUCAGGCGUCUGCGCAGCUCCGGAAGUCGCUGGGCAGCCCGGACGGGCGCGGCUCGGUCAGCGAGCGGCGUCCCUGACUGGCAACUCGUCUGUCCUUCCCUGACCCUGGAAGGUAUUUCGGUGCUUGCCUUGGACGGCCCCGAGGUGAGCGUGACCUUCUGGCCGCGGCAGACCGACCUCGCCAAACCUGGGGCAGCCCCAACAGGGGAACCGGAGACUUUGAAGAGUGAGCACCGGCACAGAUCUGGGGCCCUCGUCUGCUGUCCCGAAAUCAGCCGACUGUCACCUGGGCCACUCGUACCGCGACUGCCAGAAUGGCAGGCUAUUCGGAAAGUAUGCCUGGCAUCUUUGCAAGGGUGGGGCGGCACAAAGACAGACCAGGUAAGUAAAGAGCACGUCCAGAAGAGGAACCGAAAGCAAAGUGGACUGGACUGAAGGCGGCACGACCGAACAAUACUGAGGUCAAUAAUAGGUCGACAGCAUCAAGAUUAGAGAAGAGAAUGUCAGCUUGGGAGAACAUUGUAUUCGGGCGUAGGCAUGGACUUGAAGCUACAAAACUUGAGUUUGAUGAGCAGCUGUUUCAUGCAGACUCAUCAAUUAUGUGACGUGAACACGUAUUAAAUUACAAUUCCCAGGAAUAUCUGAUAGAGGUAAAAGUUUAGGAAUAGCCUCUCUAAGCCGACAGUGGUUCCCGACAAGAUGAGACAUAAGGGGUAUUAAACUGAUAUCUGCAGUUCUUGAUUGUGAUAUACACUGGAAAAACAGUAGCUGCGUUUUAAGAGUUGUUUAGAAAGGAGCUUGUUGUUUAUCUUACUUUGUUUUUAACUUUGCACUUCUGCCAUAUCCCAGAAAAAUCUUGUCUACACACUGUUACACAUAUUGAGUAUUUUUUUUAACUGGAAUGUACACAUAUUGAGUAUUUUUUAAGCAAAAAUGGAAAAAGAAAAAGCACUCAGUUAUUUUACACCAGGGGAAGUAGUGAAUUGGCAAGUCUAAAGAGAAGGAAAAUAUUUGUUAGUGUAGUAAAUGUAAGCUAUAUUACAGUCUAGCUAGAACUAUGAAGAACAAAGCUGGCUGGGUGGUGGUGGUGGCAGCACAUACCUUUAAUCCCUUCUCUCAGAGGCUGAGGCCUGCUCUACAGAGUGAGCUCCAGGAAAGCCAAGGCUACACAGAAAAAGGAAAAUCAAGGCCAGUGAGAUGGCCCAGAGGGUAAGGUCAUCUACUGACUACCAAAAUUGACGACCUGAGUUUCAUCCUAGGACUUACAUCCUUCGAGGAGAGAACCACUCCUUGAAGUUCACACACACUGAAAGAACACUAAAGAGCUGUGUUUCCUCACAGUUAAUAAGUGCCAUUGAAUAGCAGAGAUGUACUUCACUUUCAAGUGUUAAAGUACCACAUGUCAUGAAGUACGUGUCCCUAACUUCUCUGGGAAACUGUUAAUACAAAUGUCUGUUACUUUAUACUCCAAAGUGAAUGUUUAGAGUCAAAUUAUUUAGUAAGACUAAAGUGAAAAUAUGUUAUAUGAAUUCUGCUAAACAACAUAGAUAAAUGUUAAUAAUCAUGCAUAUCCAUAAGUUUUCUGUCACAAGCUAUUUUUCCCUCAUUCUCUUGAGCAUUCUCUUCUCCAUGAUAAACAAGAACAAACUCCUGCAACACCAUGUGAAGCUUCUGGGCUUUUCUCAAUGAAACUGCAAACAGAUUUACAAGGCCCAUAGAAUGAUCUUUCAUGGGGAGUGCUGAAACAUCAUUUCAACUUAACUAAUGCAUAGGCCAUUCUGCCUUCCCCCUUCUUGUGUUAUCUCUUUCCUGUGGCUCGUAAAUGCCUAUCCAUUUACUGUAUUCUUUUUCCCAGUUCUCAAUUAGAAUAUACUAUGGGUGAUGCAAAGAUUGGUUUCUGUAUAAGAUAUGACUACUUAUUCUUGGCUUCCACUAAAUUUUUAAUUUAAUAUCUGUCAAUGUUUCAGCGAAUUUUCAAGAAAUAACUAAAAGUGCUUUUUACCAAGAACAGAACUGACUCCAUUCCUCCACAUGUAUGUGUGUGCAAUCAGUAAAGAUUUUUUUUUAUUAUUUUAGAACUGUGGAGGGAUUAUGCAUUCUGAAUACUACAAAUCAUUUGAAUUUUUAAGUCUGUUUUUCUCAGCUUAAACUUCAGCUUCUCCUAGUCUUUACCAGACAUGUCUGUAACUCUGGAUCUUUUAAGUGUUUAACAUGCUGAUUGUAAGUUCUUUUUUAAGUAUUAACCCCACCCCUGAAUAAUGAUAUUCAUUCAGUACUAACAUUUGUUAGCAGCUCCUUAUAACUUGCUCAAGCCCCCUACUUCUGUCUGGCCUUGUAUUAGCACUCAUUACUUUUCUAUCAAGAACCACCCAAUUACAUCUCUUCCCUUCCUCAGGAUUGUCAGUGGUUUUGUUUUGUAGAUGGAUAAAACUUAAACAUAGCACAACAUAUCUUGUCUGGAUUGGGAUUAGGUUCCAACUCAUCUCACACUAUACUUGAUUAAAUUCUCCUCUUCCUAUGAAUCUUUAAAUUGGAUGGAUUUUUUUAAAUUCAUAGGAUUCUGGAGAGAUGACACAAAUUAUGAGGCAUUUAUAGAAUACCAUAAAUUCUGUAAAUAUUAAAUGUUAAUAUUUAAUAUCAUUAAUCACUUAAUUUUAAUAUUUAAGGCCAAGUAAGUUUCUAUGAAAAAAUCUUGCCCUCAUAUGUCUCAAAGGCCACUCAAACAAAACUGCAAGGAUAGUUGCUUCUGAGGCAGUAAUACUUUCUAUUUAUUCUCCCAACCCUAGUAUUGACUCACCAUUGAUUUUUAUCAUUAUCUAAUAGCUUGAAAGACCAUUUGAUUUCAUGACAGGAGUCAGAUCUUGAGACCCAUACUAUAUUUUGAUUUCAUGCUUCUGGCAGUGCUUGUUAUUGUUUAUUUUUAAAAUGUACUUUUUUAUUGAAAAUACUAAAGUGUUCUUAGAUUUGUGUCUCUUGGAUUGUACAUUACAGUUCUACUUAGCUGCCUUAACUAAUCUAGAUUAUAUCACUUACCCUCAGUUUUACAGAUGAGGGAUUGAUUCAGGAAGACUGGGCUACUGAAUCAGUUCACUUCUAGUGUUCCUUAGCAGAGUGUAAAAGUAAAACCAGGCGGUGAGUUCUAAGGCCAUAACCAUACUACACAAUCCUGCCCCUUACUCUGGUAUCAAUUCAAAUUAAGGUUUUAAAAGGGUAUGAACUUGAAACUUUAGCAGUAAACUAAGUUUCUCAGUGAUAGAACUAUUUUGUGGCCAUAGGGCAGGGAAUAGCUCAAAUAAUUCACAGGUCAUUCUGUGGAUGUUACGAUUUUUUAAAAUGUAUUUUAUUAUUCUAUUCUCUCUGCGUGUAUGACCAUGCACCAGGUGCAUGACUCAUGCUUAGAGACCAAAAGAGGGCACUGGAUCCUCUGGCAUUGAAAUUACAGAAACCUGUGGGUGCUGGGACCUGAACAUGCUCUUUGGAAGAGCAGCCAGUGCAGAGUCUAGAGCCCACUCUAGUCUCACAUUUUAGGAUUUUUGACAUCUCUGGCUUCCAUCACCUGAUACCAGUGAUACUCCUAGCCAUAACUGUUUGUCUUCAGAACCCAGGACAAGGGGCUAAAGUGCAUUUUACAUAUCAAAGCAGACCUGGCCUCCAGGUUCUCCCAGCAUCCCUCAGUCCCUACCUGACAUACCCUGUCCCAACCUUGAACUUCCCAGCCUAGGAGCUUAGGCUGUUCUUCCCCCAGAGACUCUUCCUACAUAAUCCAGACAUUUUGCACCACCCUCGCUGGAUUUGCUCUUUAUCUUCCCCCUCCCCUCUUUCUCCCUCAGGGCUGUAAAUCUGCCUAUGUAUACUUUGGCUGGAAUAGGCUCAUUCACUGGUGGAGAAAUAUCUUAGUAUUGAUAAUGCCUCUGGGGACACUCUAGUACUCCCAGGACAGAAAAAUCAACUUCUUUCCUGAUUAACAAUAUGUAUCAUGCUAUACCAUACACCUACUGAAAUUGUAUUUCAGAGAAAAAAUAGAAGACAUGGAAUCAGACUACUGUAAUUCCCAUAUUUAUGGUAAUCUCUGGAAAUCUGUGCCUGAGGAUCCUAAAAUCUUGCCAUUCAUUCCCUAUGCAUAUUAAACUUCAAUCAUGGUAGCUUAGAAUAUAAAGGAUUUUAUUUGUAAAACAAUCUAAAAUGAUGAUAUAAACAUGAGGUAGUAGUAUGAUUAAAAAAAUAAGUAACAGAAUUUAUCAAAACUUCUUUGCCCCACUUUGGGUUUUCAAGACAGGGUUUCCCUGUGUAGCCCAGGAUGUAGAACUCAACUCUGUGGACUGGCUGGCCUUGAACUCAGAGAUCUGCCUGCCUCUGCCUUCUGAGCACUGGGAUUAAAGGCUUAUGCCACUACCUCCAACAAUCAAAACUCUUUUAAAAUACAAAGGGAUAUUUUUUCUUAUUUGUACCUAUUCUAUAUCUUUUAAACUAUAACUGUUCUAUAUCUUUUAAACUAUGUGUCUUUUGUAACCCAUAAUAAAAUUAAGGUUUCUUUCUA
rnacentral:lncRNA from 1 species